CCGGCGUAAAUGUCAGCUCCUCUUAAAUGCAUUAGCAGAACUCUUUAAUGAAGGACCGGCUUUGGUUUGAUAAUUGUAUAUCUAUGCCGUCGCUGUGGACUUUUGUUGUUCAGCUCAUAACUGUCUUCGGACUGUCUCUUUGGAGGCAUAUUUUAUUUAAGCUUGACCUCAAAUCAGGUAGGACUACCCGCUGAACUUAA
rnacentral:misc_RNA from 1 species